GGUGAGCCUCAGCCGCCCCCCACCUCUGCAGGAGACCCUCCAAGAACAGCAGGUCCCAUGGGGUGGCCAGAGCUGGCCGUCCCCUGUGCAGAGGCCCCCUGGGUGGCGUGCAGACCUGAAGGACGGCCCCCUCCCCGAGGCCCGCACUCCUCCUACAGCCCGAGCCUCAAGGGGUUGACUGUGGGCAGUGUCCUCCUUUCUGGGCUGUUCCUGCCUCCUGGGGGCACCCACGGAGCACAGACUCCUGCUGAGGGCCAUCACACGGCAGGUGCCCCAUGGCCUUGGGGCUGCCCCCAGAUCCAGGAUGGGGUGACACAGCUUGCCUCAUCUUGGUGGGGCAGGAAGAGGGACGAUGGAGCACCAGGCCAGCCCAGCGGGGGAGAGCAGGAGGACCUGGUGGCGUGGCCACGGCUAAAUGCAGGGAAGCUGGGAAAUGAGCCAGGUGCCCACAGCAGAGGAAGGGCACAGAGGUCAGAGAGACAGCAGGCUGUGCCCAGGAACCAGGCAUGCACCUCAGGCUUUCCAGGAGGGGAGACCUGGGCUCAGUAUCCACCUGGAAGAUGCCAACAGGGCGGGUGAAAGUGAGCUGGAGGUGAGGCAGGGCCCCAACUGGGGCCGAGGUGGCAGGAGGGGGACCCGGAGACCGACCAGCAGCUACUGUGGAGGCUGGGUGACAACUACCUCGAGGGCCGAGGAAUCAGGAGAACACGAGUGUCCAUCUCCAAGACUCCAGAGGUAAGAAAGGGCUACACUGUGUGCCCGGAAUUGCUCGUGUUGCAUCUUCCAGGAAAAAAGUUCGUUUGCGUCGAGGUUCAGUGGGCUGAGCCUCACCCCUCUGGGGCCCCCUCAGGACCCCGUCUGACUCUCACACCAGGUUUGGUGGCUGGCAGUGCUGCUCCCAUUUAGACCGAUAAGGAUACUGGGGCUCUGACGUGCUCCAGCCCAGGUCCCCGGCCCACGUGCAAGACACCCGCUGCCUCCCAGGUGAAGGUGGUGACCACCCAGGUGCAGGGUGCUGAUGGGACUCCGAGAACUAAGCCACUGGCAGGGGGGUGGGGGGCUGCAGUGCCUGAGGGCAGCUUCCUGGCUCCAGGGCCCCUUCCUUCAGAAGUCCCUGCCUGAGGCUGUGCUUCAGACUUUUACCAAAGUGAGAAACUUUUAUGCUAGCAGAAUGCUCCAGGAAUUAAGGCUGCCCCUAGCCCUGGCAAGAGCACUCCUAACUUUGUGACGGCACCCUCACCCCUCCUCCCUCUGCUGCAGUGAGGCGGACACUGAAAGCUAUGUAGGAAUUUUCCAGGUAGAGGAGCGAACAUAUGCAUGCCUCUUUUUUUUUCUUUUUUUUGCAGGUGGGAAGACUAUUAUAGGAUGGGUUAAAAAAUAUAUCUUUGGGUAAGGGCCAGGACUAGGGUGAGGCAAGUGAGGCACUCCCCUCGGGCACACAACUUAAGGGUGCACCAAAAAUCUUGAUCAAAAUAAGCAAUAUUUUAAUGUAAUACUUUACUUUUAAAUCAAAAUUAACGAUGAUAAACCAAAUAUUGACAUUUCACAACAGGAUUCCUGGUUGUCUUUUGCUCCAGUCCCCCAGGACUCAGCAGAGCACGGUCUGUCUGUGGCCCCUGCCCCGCCGGCAGGGCCUCUUCCACCCUUACACUCCACUUUAUAUACAAGCUGUUCUUCUUUUCUGUUUUUGCUUACUCUGUUAACGGUUGGUCUCUUUUUCCCCAAUGUGAAAAAUGUCGGGAU